rnacentral:lncRNA from 10 species
CUGGUCUCUCCCACUUUAUUAGUGCACCCUAGAGGGAACCACUUCCAACUCUUGGCAUUGCAUCUGAAAUUCACCUCCGUGUGGGUAAAUAAUAUGUGUUUUAUUUCUUGAUUUAUUAGUUAGGAUAUUACAUCCUAUUGUGGAUGUUGAUGAAUUAGUCCAACUGCCUAUCCCUGACAUUAGUCUAUACAAUCUUGUAACUUUCUCAAGAUCAUUAUCAUACAUUUUUUGUCAAAUUCAGUUGGCAUUUACAGUAUGACUACAGAAAUACUCCUCUCUGCUGAGCCAGAGAUGGGGUCUUGCAUAUUUCCCAGGCUGGCCACAAAUUCCUGGCAUCAAGUGAUCGUCUCGCCUCAGCCUUCCAAAUAGCUGGGAUUACAGGUAUAAGCCACCACCCUUGUCUAUGUAAUGUUCUAAACUCUUUGUUGUCAUUUCAACAGUGUUCAUAGAAUCUUCACCAGGAGUAGACUCCAUUUCAAAAAACCUUUCUUUGCUUAUUCAUAAGAAGCAGCUGCUCAUCUCUUCAAGUUUUAUCAUGAGAUUGCAGCAAUUCACCUAUAUCUUCAGCCUCCACUUCUAAUUCUAGUUCUUUUGCUAUUUCCAUAUCUGCUGUCACUUUCUACACUGAAGUCUUCAACCCCUCAAAGUGAUCCAUGAGAGUUGGAAUCAACUUCUUUCAAACUCCUGUUUAUGUUGAUAUUUUGACCUCC